rnacentral:rRNA from 1 species
GAUGAACGCUGGCGGCGUGCCUAAUACAUGCAAGUCGAGCGUACAGACGAGGAGCUUGCACCUCUGACGUUAGCGGCGGACGGGUGAGUAACACGUGGAUAACCUACCUAUAAGACUGGGAUAACUUCGGGAAACCGGAGCUAAUACCGGAUAAUAUAUUGAACCGCAUGGUUCAAUAGUGAAAGACGGUUUUGCUGUCACUUAUAGAUGGAUCCGCGCCGCAUUAGCUAGUUGGUAAGGUAACGGCUUACCAAGGCAACGAUGCGUAGCCGACCUGAGAGGGUGAUCGGCCACACUGGAACUGAGACACGGUCCAGACUCCUACGGGAGGCAGCAGUAGGGAAUCUUCCGCAAUGGGCGAAAGCCUGACGGAGCAACGCCGCGUGAGUGAUGAAGGUCUUCGGAUCGUAAAACUCUGUUAUUAGGGAAGAACAAAUGUGUAAGUAACUAUGCACGUCUUGACGGUACCUAAUCAGAAAGCCACGGCUAACUACGUG